rnacentral:rRNA from 1 species
GAUGAACGCUGGCGGCGUGCCUAAUACAUGCAAGUCGAGCGAACAGACGAGGAGCUUGCUCCUCUGACGUUAGCGGCGGACGGGUGAGUAACACGUGGAUAACCUACCUAUAAGACUGGGAUAACUUCGGGAAACCGGAGCGAAUACCGGAUAAUAUAUUGAACCGCAUGGUUCAAUAGUGAAGGACGGUUUUGCUGUCACUUAUAGAUGGAUCCGCGCCGCAUUAGCUAGUUGGUAAGGUAACGGCUUACCAAGGCAACGAUGCGUAGCCGACCUGAGAGGGUGAUCGGCCACACUGGAACUGAGACACGGUCCAGACUCCUACGGGAGGCAGCAGUAGGGAAUCUUCCGCAAUGGGCGAAAGCUUGACGGAGCAACGCCGCGUGAGUGAUGAAGGUCUUCGGAUCGUAAAACUCUGUUAUUAGGGAAGAACAAAUGUGUAAGUAACUAUGCACGUCUUGACGGUACCUAAUCAGAAAGCCACGGCUAACUACGUG